GAAAGGUUGUGUAAAACACAACUGGAUGCACAACAUACCGGCAUCCCAAUUAGG
rnacentral:ncRNA from 1 species